UACAGAGGGGGCAAGCGUUGUUCGGAAUUACUGGGCGUAAAGGGCUCGUAGGCGGCCUGCUAAGUCGAACGUGAAAUCCCUGGGCUCAACCCAGGAACUGCGUCCGAUACUGGUUGGCUUGAAUCCGGGAGAGGGACGUGGAAUUCCAGGUGUAGCGGUGAAAUGCGUAGAUAUGACAUAGAACACCAAUUGCGAAGGCAGCUGGCUACACAAAUAUUGACACUGAGGCACGAAAGCGUGGGGAUCAAACAGG
rnacentral:rRNA from 1 species